CAGUCGCCACGGUAAUACGAAGGGGGCUAGCGUUGUUCGGAAUUACUGGGCGUAAAGCGCACGUAGGCGGAUACUUAAGUCAGGGGUGAAAUCCCGGGGCUCAACCCCGGAACUGCCUUUGAUACUGGGUAUCUCGAGUCCGGAAGAGGUGAGUGGAAUUCCGAGUGUAGAGGUGAAAUUCGUAGAUAUUCGGAGGAACACCAGUGGCGAAGGCGGCUCACUGGUCCGGUACUGACGCUGAGGUGCGAAAGCGUGGGGAGCAAACAGGAUUAGAUACCCCAGUAGUCCCUGUCUCUUAUAC
rnacentral:rRNA from 1 species